GCUCAGGAUGAACGCUGGCGGUAUGCUUAACACAUGCAAGUCGAACGAUGUUUUCGGACAUAGUGGCGGACGGGUGAGUAACGCGUGAGAAUCUACCUUCAGGUCGGGGACAACAGUUGGAAACGGCUGCUAAUACCGGAUGUGCCGAGAGGUAAAAGGCUUGCUGCCUGAAGAAGAGCUCGCGUCUGAUUAGCUAGUUGGUGGUGUAAAGGACUACCAAGGCGACGAUCAGUAGCUGGUCUGAGAGGAUGAUCAGCCACACUGGGACUGAGACACGGCCCAGACUCCUACGGGAGGCAGCAGUGGGGAAUUUUCCGCAAUGGGCGAAAGCCUGACGGAGCAAUACCGCGUGAGGGAGGAAGGCUCUUGGGUCGUAAACCUCUUUUCUUAGGGAAUAAAAAAAUGAAGGUACCUAAGGAAUAAGCAUCGGCUAACUCCGUGCCAGCAGCCGCGGUAAUACGGAGGAUGCAAGCGUUAUCCGGAAUGAUUGGGCGUAAAGGGUCUGUAGGUGGCGGUGAAAGUCUGCGGUUAAAGAGUCUAGCUCAACUAGAUAAAAGCCGUGGAAACUACACAGCUAGAGUGCGGUAGGGGCAAGAGGAAUUCCUGGUGUAGCGGUGAAAUGCGUAGAUAUCAGGAAGAACACCGGUGGCGAAAGCGUCUUGCUAGACCUGCACUGACACUGAGGGACGAAAGCUAGGGGAGCGAAUGGGAUUAGAUACCCCAGUAGUCCUAGCCGUAAACGAUGGAUACUAGGCGUGGCUCGUAUGACCCGAGCCGUGCCGGAGCUAACGCGUUAAGUAUCCCGCCUGGGGAGUACGCACGCAAGUGUGA
rnacentral:rRNA from 1 species